rnacentral:rRNA from 1 species
ACGCACGCUGGCGGCGUGCUUAACACCUGCCAGUCGAACGGAAAGGCCCCUUUGGGGGUACUCGAGUGGCGAACGGGUGAGUAACACGUGAGUAACCUGCCCUUGACUUCGGGAUAACUUCAGGAAACUGGGGCUAAUACCGGAUAGGAAUCCUUGCUGCAUGGUGGGGGUUGGAAAGCUUCGGCGGUUUUGGAUGGACUCGCGGCUUAUCAGCUUGUUGGUGGGGUAGUGGCUUACCAAGGCUUUGACGGGUAGCCGGCCUGAGAGGGCGACCGGCCACAUUGGGACUGAGAUACGGCCCAGACUCCUACGGGAGGCAGCAGUGGGGAAUAUUGCACAAUGGGCGGAAGCCUGAUGCAGCAACGCCGCGGGCGGGAUGACGGCCUUCGGGUUGGAAACCGCUUUCAGCAGGGGCGAAGCUUGUGGUGACGGUACCUGCAGAAGAAGCACCGGCUAACUACGUG